GGCAUAUUUCAGGUUUGUGCGUGAAUCUAAUAUAGACAUUUUUCUUUCCACAAAAGAUCGUAAAAUUCUCUCUAGGAUCUUGUUAGAUUCACGCACAAACUCGUAAUCUGCC
rnacentral:pre_miRNA from 1 species